AGCGAACGCUGGCGGCAGGCCUAACACAUGCAAGUCGAACGAACCCUUCGGGGUUAGUGGCGGACGGGUGAGUAACACGUGGGAACGUGCCUUUAGGUCCGGAAUAUCUCAGGGAAACUUGUGCUACUACCGAAUGUGCCCUUCGGGGCAACGAUUUAUCGCCUUUAGAGCGGCCCGCGUCUGAUUAGCUAGUUGGUGAGGUAAUGGCUCACCAAGGCGACGAUCAGUAGCUGGUCUGAGAGGAUGACCAGCCACAUUGGGACUGAGACACGGCCCAAACUCCUACGGGAGGCAGCAGUGGGGAAUCUUGCGCAAUGGGCGAAAGCCUGACGCAGCCAUGCCGCGUGGAUGAUGAAGGUCUUAGGAUUGUAAAAUCCUUUCACCGGUGAAGAUAAUGACUGUAGCCGGAGAAGAAGCCCCGGCUAACUUCGUGCCAGCCGCCGCAUAACAC
rnacentral:rRNA from 1 species